GCCUGGGUGGCUCAGUUGGUUAAGCGUCUGACUCUGGCUCAGGUCAUGAUUUCACUGUUUGUGAGUUCAAGUCCCGCAUCGGGUU
rnacentral:tRNA from 1 species